rnacentral:rRNA from 1 species
UACGGGGGAGCAAGCGUUGUUCGGAUUUACUGGGCGUAAAGGGCUCGUAGGCGGCCAACUAAGUCAGACGUGAAAUCCCUCGGCUUAACCGGGGAACUGCGUCUGAUACUGGAUGGCUUGAGUUUGGGAGAGGGAUGCGGAAUUCCAGGUGUAGCGGUGAAAUGCGUAGAUAUCUGGAGGAACACCGGUGGCGAAGGCGGCAUCCUGGACCAACACUGACGCUGAGGAGCGAAAGCCAGGGGAGCAAACGGG